rnacentral:rRNA from 1 species
UUAUUUAUUUUAUUAUAUUUAUUUUUUGUUUAUUUAAUUAUUUAAUAGAAAUAAUUUUGUUGAAUUUUGUCUUAGUAUAUUUUGUAGAAUUGAUUUUUUAAAUUAUAGUUUAUUGGUAAUGUAAUUGUUUUAUGAAAUAUUAUUUUAAAUUUUUAAAAGUAUAUUUUAUUUAUUGUACCUUUUGUAUCAGGGUUUAUCAAAAUUUUAGUAUUUAAUUUACUUGUCUCGAUUUGGGUUGAUUUAUAAAUAAUUUACAGUUAAUGGAUCAUAAUUAUUAUUAAAUUAUUUAUGGAAAUGAAAUGKUAAUCGUUUUGCAAGAUAUCUAGUUUCUUAAGAAAAAUUUUAAUUUUUUAAAG